CUUUUAAAUAAGUAAGAGUAUAUGGUGGAUGCCUUGGGUCUGGAAGUCGAUGAAGGACGUGAUUACCUGCGAUAAGUCUUGUGGAGCUGGAUAUACGCUAUGAUACAGGAAUUUCCGAAUGGGGGAACCCAACUGGAUUAAUCUCCAGUUACUACUUAAUGAAUACAUAGUUAAGUAAGAGAGACACGUUGUGAAUUGAAACAUCUUAGUAGCAACAGGAAAAGAAAAUAAAUAAUGAUUCUGUCAGUAGCGGCGAGCGAACGCGGAAGAGCCCAAACCUUCUUUUGAAGGGGUUGUAGGGCAGUCUAUAUGGAGUUACAAAUUUUUACUAUAGCAGAAGAAGUUGGGAAGCUUCAGCACAGAGGGUGAUACUCCCGUAAGCGAAAUAGUAAAAACUCUUGACUGUACCCUGAGUAGGGCGGGGCACGUGAAACCCUGUCUGAAUCCGCCGGGACCACCCGGUAAGGCUAAAUACUAACCAGACACCGAUAGUGAACUAG
rnacentral:rRNA from 1 species